AUUGAACGCUGGCGGCAUGCCUUACACAUGCAAGUCGAACGGUAACAGGUCUUCGGAUGCUGACGAGUGGCGAACGGGUGAGUAAUACAUCGGAACGUGCCUAGUAGUGGGGGAUAACUACUCGAAAGAGUGGCUAAUACCGCAUGAGAUCUACGGAUGAAAGCAGGGGACCGCAAGACCUUGUGCUACUAGAGCGGCCGAUGGCAGAUUAGGUAGUUGGUGGGAUAAAAGCUUACCAAGCCGACGAUCUGUAGCUGGUCUGAUAGGACGAUCAGCCACACAGGGACGUAGACACGGCAGAGACUCAUACGGGAGGCAGCCGUGGUGAAUUGUGGACAAUGGGCGAAAGCCUGAUCCAGCAAUGCCGCGUGCAGGAUGAAGGCCUUCGGGUUGUAAACUGCUUUUGUACGGAACGAAAAGCCCCGGGUUAAUACCCUGGGGUCAUGACGGUACCGUAAGAAUAAGCACCGGCUAACUACGUGCCAGCCGCCGCGGUAA
rnacentral:rRNA from 1 species